rnacentral:rRNA from 1 species
CCCUUAGAUGUUCUGGGCCGCACGCGCGCUACACUGAUGCAUUCAACGAGCCUAUCCUUGACCGACAGGUCCGGGUAAUCUUUGAAUCUGCAUCGUGACGGGGAUAGAUUAUUGCAAUUAUUAAUCUUCAACGAGGAAUGCCUAGUAGGCGCAAGUCACCAGCUUGCGUCGAUUACGUCCCUGCCCUUUGUACACACCGCCCGUCGCUCCUACCGAUUGGGUGUGCUGGUGAAAUGUUCGGAUCGGCCGUUUGUCGCGGUUUCCGCGGCUCGUGGCUGAGAAGUUCAUUAAACCCUCCCACCUAGAGGAAGGAGAAGUCGUAACA